AGGGUGGGGAAGCAUGUGUAAAUUACAGCUCCCAGAAUAGAGGGGCCCACAGGGAGUGGCCGGGGCCUCCUACUAAGGAAGUCCUGGCAGCCUGCCUGGCAUGUCUGGGCUCCAGCCACUACUGGAGCCGAGUCCAGUGACCACAUGAUGGACUUGUGGUGUGUAUGAAGAUCUGUCCAGCCCAGCCAGCCAGGUCAUGGCAGGGAUUCUCGUAAGGGUAGAGAGAGACCUGCCAGGACCAUGGAGGCGUCUGGAAAUUGAGCAGAGCCAGCCAGUCUCGGGUGAACAAUCAGCAGCCCCGACGCGGAGCUCCGCCGAGACAGC
rnacentral:lncRNA from 1 species